UGUUGUUAGUUUGUAGUUAUGCCUAUGAGGAGCAAAUCAAUAUAUGUGCUUGCUUGCUACUUAUCUCGCCUAAUCUGAUUGUACUGGUUUAUAUUUUCUGUAAAAAUAUACUUAUUAAUCAUAGUCAGUUUGCUAAACAGAAAAAAUCAUAGUUUGUUUCAUCAUUGUAACAACUAAUAUAUUCAGUACAAAAACUGCUCUUUGUAUUUUCAGUCCACCAUCAUUUUGUACAGAUUUAGGCAAUUAAUUUUCUGUACCAUUAGUGAUUAAUAUGGAGUCAAAUUUUAUUUACCAAGUUUUCUUUUGCAUCUCAGUAUUAAGUAGUUUCCAAACCUGGACAGUUUAAUAUGCCCACUCCCAACAAUUCUUAGUACUACUGCAGACUGAAGAGAAGAAGUGCUGAAAGCAUGAUUGCAUUCGCUAUAGCGGGUUCAUUGUGUUACAGAGAAGUGCUUUCCCCAUCAUUUAUGAUGCUCACUGUUUCAUUGUCAAGUUGUGAACUUUUUACCAUCAUUUACUUGUUUGUUCGAAGGAUAAACUUUUGGUUUCUUGAAACUACAAGUAACUUGUGGCAGCUAUUUAGUAAUACCAUUGAUGCUCUGAAAUAAUAAUGUCUGUGAAGUCACAUAAUGUUUUCUAAUGACCUUUGUUGUACAGAUAUUAUCAUCGUAAGAGAAUUAAUAUUUCCUUUUCCUCCUAGCAGAGUAAGUGUUGCUGAUGGAGCUCAUUUGACUUAAUUUCCUACUGAUUUAACCCAUUUUGAGGGGCUUCAGGUAUUUAGCAUGUCAACGAGCAUCAGCUAUGCAAAACUUUCCUUUCGUAGUUUUUCCUAGACAUUCUGGUACACAUCAUCAUUUAUAUAACAUCCCCUGUGUUUCCCAUAGAAUUCUUCAUUUUAGCAAUUUGAUCAACGAUGUCGUAGAAAUAGGGAUAACUGAUAGUUUGCAUGAACGCAUGUAUAUUGAAAUCAGAACGCUAUUUGAAGUUGGUCGAUACUUAGUUUGCUUUUUGUUUCAUUGCCAAUGCAUCCAAAGCUGUAACUUGUUGUAACUCGUGGUUUCUGUCUUCUGCUUACUAGGUAGUGUCUCGCCUACGGACCAAGUUGGAGAAAGUUAAAAGACGCUUUCAGAUGAGAAUGAUCAUGCUUCUGAUCUUUUGUAAUAUAACUACUGUUGGAUUGAAAAUAGGAUAUUAUUUACAACUACGAAUUUCCCUUAAGGAAUUUACACCUGAUUCUCACUUUACAUAUAUCUUCCUUGGAACCUUUCCAAAAACAAUGUAUUUACGCCUGCUCAAAUUUAUGUAUUUGCACUGCUGAAGUUGAUGAACCGCCAAGUCUUAUUAUUUUCUAUUAGUAUGAUGUGCACUACUAGAGUCAAAAUUUCUUGAGCACAAUAGCAUUUCCAAAAUGCAUAAUACAUAGCCAUGGACUUAACACAUGAAUUUCUUUUGCCAGCUUAUUAACAAAUUUGGCUACAUAUUUUUAUUGGUUCUUCAUAUAUGCUUGCCUGCCGUAGGUGGGCAAGCGAGCGGCAAGCUGCGCCUUAUUCAUGAGCAUCUUUUUUGAUUUGUCUUCCUUUUUUAUGUGUGAUAUCGACAUGUUUUUGCUGCAGACAUGGCUCUUUCCAUUUUUUUAAUUAUAGCAGGGGCGGCAGGGGUUUGGGUGUCUGCUGCUUUCCUCUAAACGUCUGCUGCUUCUUUAUCCGUCUGCCCAUGAAAUCGAGUGUUCAACAGGAAGUACAAUGCUGGGUAGAUAUGACAGGACAUGAUGGAUGAUGACAUUAUCGCGGCCAUCUCAGGCAUGUGGCAAACUCCCUCCUCACACUUGUGCAUGUGGACAAAGUUUUGUUCCUUAGCAGACACGAAGAAACUAGAGUUGCUCUGCCACAUUGCUGGCCAAGCGGCAAUGUGUAGUUACAGCUGUUGGAAAUAGUACUGUUAUAGGUUGCAAUGGGGAAUAAUUACAACGGUUGAUGAGGAUUUAGAAGUGUUAGGUCAUAUUGACUAUAAUUGGAGCGGAAUUGGUUUUGAGCUCACAAUCCUCACAUAAAGGAACAGAGUUUGCAUCUUCUGUCUGAUUUUAUGGAAAUAUCAGAGAAGACCUUAUGGCAUGAUUUGUCUCCUUUACUUCUCUUGAGUUGUUCCAUUUCUUAAAAUCUACUCUGCCCUAUGUUCGCCCCCAACGGCAAAAUCUGAGGCUUCGCUCUCAAGGUUCAGGGAGGCGGUAACACGAGAUGUAGCCUGCAGGGCUGUACGAUUAGCAACAAAGCUGCAUUUUUCAGAGAUGGUGUUAAAUGAUUAAGGAAUCAGGUCUGAAACUGCUAUGCUGAAUCAUUUGUUUUGCUAGCCAUUGCUACACCUUGGAGCCUUCCAAGUGAUUUCUGUGGGAGGGAUUAGUAAGGCAGCGAGCUUGAGAAGUUGAGAAGGGACCGCCAGCUGCCAGGCUGUAGGGAGAAGCGUCGGUUGCUUGCUCGAUACUACAGUACAUAUCAAAUUUGAGGUGAGAGCUCGAUGCAAGCUUCAAUCACAGAGGCAUUUACAGACAGAAGCUUCAGCAGCAUGAGCAACAUCGACAAACUACUUGAUGGGUGCAUGGACCCGGCCAGUUCGUCUGGUGCCUCGGUUUGGGUGUUUAGAGAUGAGCUGGGAUCUGUGACCGGUUCAGGUGCUGACCAUAUGGAGCAUGUGUCUCCACACUGAAGCGGAGGCCUGCCUACAAUCACUAUUUCAGGUUCAAAUCUGGUGGUACUUCUCGCGUUCGAAACUGACUCACAACUUGUGGUGCAAGCGAUCAAGGGAAGCGAGCAAGACUUGGCUCGGAAUAGCGCUAUUUUUAGGUAGGUUAAAUUUCAGAUUUCAUUGGACUUCCGUGGUCUCAGUAUUUCAAUUGCCUUUAGAUCUGUAAUCAAGUGGCGGACGCCACACUAUGACGUUCUAGGUCUCAGACUCAGGAGACAGUAGGCGUGUAGGACUAUAGGAAAGCAACUCAAAAUAUGGUGUGUUCUUUUGCUCCUCUUCGUCAACUAAUAAUUUUUAAAACGGAUAAUUAUUCAAUUUUACUUAA